GCUUGGCAUAGUGGCAUGUUCCUGUAGUCCCAGCUACUCAGUAGGCUGAGGAAGGAGGAUCACUUGAGUUCAGGAGUUCUGGGUUGUAGUGUACUAUGCCAAUUGGGCAUCCACACUAAGUUCAGCUUCAAUAUGGUGACUUCGUGGGAGAAGAGGACCAUCAGGUUGCCUAAGGAGGGGUGAACUGACCCAGGUCAGAAACAGAGCAGGUCAAAACUCCCAUUCUGAUUAGUAGUGGGAUCAUGCCUGUGAAUAGCCACUGCACUCCAACUUGGGAAACAUAGUGAGACCUGGUUUUCU
rnacentral:SRP_RNA from 1 species